GUGUUUGCUUCAGCAGCACAUAUACUAAAACUGGAAGGACACAGAGAAGAUUAACAUGGCCUCUGCAUGAGGAUGACACACACAUUCAUAAAGCAUAUAAAAAAAUAU